rnacentral:rRNA from 1 species
CUGGAACGCGCCCCAGGCGCACCCAGAAACCCUUUGUGAACUUAUACCUUACUGUUGCCUCGGCGCAUGCUGGUCCUCCGGGGCCCCUCACCCCCGGGUGUUGAGACGGCACGCCGGCGGCCAACCUAACUCUUGUUUUUACACUGAAACUCUGAGAAUAAAACAUAAAUGAAUCAAAACUUUCAACAACGGAUCUCUUGGUUCUGGCAUCGAUGAAGAACGCAGCGAAAUGCGAUAAGUAAUGUGAAUUGCAGAAUUCAGUGAAUCAUCGAAUCUUUGAACGCACAUUGCGCCCUCUGGUAUUCCGGAGGGCAUGCCUGUUCGAGCGUCAUUUCAACCCUCAAGCCUGGCUUGGUGAUGGGGCACUGCCUGUAAAAGGGCAGGCCCUGAAAUUCAGUGGCGAGCUCGCCAGGACCCCGAGCGCAGUAGUUAAACCCUCGCUCUGGAAGGCCCUGGCGGUGCCCUGCCGUUAAACCCCCAACUUCUGAAAAU